rnacentral:rRNA from 1 species
AUUGAACGCUGGCGGCAUGCCUUACACAUGCAAGUCGAACGGCGGCACGGGUGCUUGCACCUGGUGGCGAGUGGCGAACGGGUGAGUAAUAUAUCGGAACGUACCUUAUUGUGGGGGAUAACGCAGCGAAAGCUGUGCUAAUACCGCAUAAUCCCUAAGGGGGAAAGCGGGGGACCGUAAGGCCUCGCGCAAUUAGAGCGGCCGAUACCUGAUUAGCUAGUUGGUGAGGUAAAGGCUCACCAAGGCAACGAUCAGUAGCUGGUCUGAGAGGACGAUCAGCCACACUGGGACUGGGACACGGCCCAGACUCCUACGGGAGGCAGCAGUGGGGAAUUUUGGACAAUGGGGGCAACCCUGAUCCAGCAAUGCCGCGUGAGUGAAGAAGGCCUUCGGGUCGUAAAGCUCUUUUGUCAGGGAAGAAACAGCAGCUCUAACACAGUAUGCGAAUGACGGUACCUGAAGAAUAAGCACCGGCUAACUACGUGCCAGCCGCCGCCGUAA